rnacentral:rRNA from 1 species
UGAGGAAUAUUGGUCAAUGGGCGAGAGCCUGAACCAGCCAAGUAGCGUGCAGGAUGACGGCCCUAUGGGUUGUAAACUGCUUUUAUGUGGGGAUAAAGUGCGUGACGUGUCAUGCAUUGCAGGUACCACAUGAAUAAGGACCGGCUAAUUCCGUGCCAGCAGCCGCGGUAAUACGGAAGGUCCGGGCGUUAUCCGGAUUUAUUGGGUUUAAAGGGAGCGUAGGCUGUCUAUUAAGCGUGUUGUGAAAUUUACCGGCUCAACCGGUGGCUUGCAGCGCGAACUGGUCGACUUGAGUAUGCAGGAAGUAGGCGGAAUUCACGGUGUAGCGGUGAAAUGCUUAGAUAUCAUGACGAACUCCGAUUGCGCAGGCAGCUUACUGUAGCAUAACUGACGCUGAUGCUCGAAAGUGCGGGUAUCAAACAGG